GCUUAGCCCUAAACUUCAAUAACUUUUUAACAAAAAUAUUUGCCAGAGAACUACGAGCCACCGCUUAAAACUCAAAGGACUUGGCGGUACUUUAUAUCCACCUAGAGGAGCCUGUUCUAUAAUCGAUAAACCCCGCUAUACCUCACCAUCUCUUGCUAAUUCAGCCUAUAUACCGCCAUCUUCAGCAAACCCUAAAAAGGAGUCAAAGUAAGCACAAGAACAAACAUAAAAACGUUAGGUCAAGGUGUAGCCAAUGGGAUGGGAAGAAAUGGGCUACAUUUUCUUAUAAAGAACAUUAACGAAACCCUUUAUGAAACUAAAGGGUAAAGGCGGAUUUAGUAGUAAAUUAAGAAUAGAGAGCUUAAUUG
rnacentral:rRNA from 1 species